rnacentral:snoRNA from 1 species
GCUUGGGUCCAAUUUUAAUUUGUACAGUCGGACACCAUGCAAAAGUAAAGUGUUCACUUUAAAAUGACUAUGAUGGGAUGCUGAGUUUUCCAUACUGUAUCAUUAUUAAAAGUAAACACAAAU